rnacentral:rRNA from 1 species
ACUCCUACGGGAGGCAGCAGUGGGGAAUAUUGCACAAUGGGGGAAACCCUGAUGCAGCCAUGCCGCGUGUGUGAAGAAGGCCUUCGGGUUGUAAAGCACUUUCAGUAGGGAGGAAGGUAUGGUAGUUACAUACCUGCACUAUUUGACGUUACCUACAGAAGAAGCACCGGCUAACUCCGUGCCAGCAGCCGCGGUAAUACGGAGGGUGCGAGCGUUAAUCGGAAUUACUGGGCGUAAAGCGCAUGCAGGCGGCC